ACUCAUCGAGAAAAAGUACAACAUAAGUGGACAUGUAUAUUUCACAAGCGUAAAAGAAGUAACGCAAGUGCAUGAGCUUAGUCAUGAUCAAUGUUGAAAAAGAUGAGUAUGAUCUUCAUGUUCUACUCUUAGAUUACAUGUAAUGUACUUGUAUUUUUAAGGAUUGAUAUGACGAAGGCAUUUCAUUCUACUACACAAAUGUUGUGUCAUCCAUUGUUACCUCUUUUGAGCUUUAGUGUUAUUUUCUUUCG
rnacentral:lncRNA from 1 species